CACUAUUCAUAAUCGUAAACAGAUUGAAAAUUUACCAGAGUACUAGGAAUGUAUAAAGAUUUAAAACUCAAAGGGCUUGGCGGUGUUUUAGACCUAUCAGGGGAACCUGUCUCAUAAUCGACAAUCCACGCAAAACCUAACCCUAUUUUGUAUUCAGUUUGUAUACCGUCGUCGUCAGGUAACUUUUAAAAAAUUAGAAGUUAGCAGUAAAAAUAAAUUAGAUUAAUACGUCAGAUCAAGGUGCAGCUAAUGAAAGGGAGAGGAUGGGUUACAAUUAUAUUAUUUAUAAUCACGGAUAGUUAGAUGAAAAUAUAACUUAAAGGAGGACUUGAAAGUAAAAUAAAAUAUAUAAACAAUUUGAAUACGGCUCUGAAACGUGC
rnacentral:rRNA from 1 species